UGAUCUUCUAUACACUUUUUCUGCUGUCACGUUCAGGAACAAGCCACAACUUUGUCUCGGCUAAUAGAGCAGGCUGCAGGUUCACUGUGAAGAUGAAGUUUUGGAAUUGCUAUACUUCUUUCAACCAGCAGAUGUCAGUACUGUAAAACAUUGCCUUUAACACUUCUGCACCAGUGAUAAUGACAGACAUGACUCCCUCCCUUAGGUGCGGUGCUCAAUGUGAUCAUCACGGGGCCAAGCGAGGUCACUGUAGGGGUUGCAGCUGACUUCCGCUGCUCAGCCCAAUGCAGUAUCCCCUGCUCUUACAGAUGGCUUGUACAGGGGAAGACGGUAGAUGGCCCAUCACUGGCAGUCACCCCUACCAGCGGGGGGGACAGCAUAGAAAUCCAGUGCACAGCCACAGACCCUCAAACUAGCAAAUCAUCUGCCAGAAUGAAACAGGUGAAAGUGAAAAAUCCAUAUGAAGUGAUUCCCAUGGCAGAUGAACCCAAGGAAAAUGAGGCCUUCAAUCUGACUUGUUCAGGCCCCAGUGAACUACUUCAGGUGUUCUGGUACAGAAACAAUAAGCCUGUGACCCUUGACAGGUGGAUGAGCCUCUCGAGAAAGAACGCCACAUUGUCCUUCAGCAAACUGUUGGAAUCUCAUAGCGGAUAUUACCUGUGCCAGGCCUCCAUUGGCACUGUUACAAUUCAAAGUACUGAAUAUUUACUCACAUUUGAUUCCAUAAUAUUGAUGAUCAUUGGGCCAGAUACAGUGGAGGUUGGGGAACCAGCUGUGUUUAAAUGUCUAGUGAACUGUUCCUUUGGCUGUUCCAUCUUCUGGACCUACAAAAACGGGUUUCCUAGUGGCACUUAUCUGCAGAGAGGUACCACCAUCAACUGGACCCCAUCAAUACCAAACAUCACACAGAACUUUACAUGUGUCGCGGAAAAACCUGAAUCUCGCCAGUCAGCCAGUGCCCACAAAUCUGUGAGGAUCACAGACAGAAAACCCACAAAUCUGCCAAAGUCUGGGGCUGACGAACUGAUAUCAAAAAUGCCAAAGGGGGUGGCCAUUGCUGUGUGGCUGUCCUUCAUUUUGAGCUUCUGAAGGGGGCGCUCUAAAGACAGAAAACUUCACUUUUCCCCAGAAGGUCUCUUGAAAACGCAGUCCAGGUUCAACAUCAAUCACAGUCACAUGCAUCAGGAACUUAAGUAAUCUGGCCCUGGUCAAACAAGGCUUAGUCAGUUACUGUACCCACUCUCCACAAGUCUGCUUUCCACCUGUCCGUGGCACUCUCUGAAGGGGGUGUCAAUAUCCGGUUCUGGGCUCCUUGAAGAUGCAUGAACUGGAGGUCUGGGAGGAAACGUGUACAAGAUUGUUUUCCUUAAUUGUACUAAACCAGUUCACUUUCCCCUUGAAUGAUCAUGGAGGCAAUAGUUUCUGUUUGCUUCUGCAAUUUUAGGUUGCAGAACUGUAUAAUGUUGAAUUACUUUGAUAUAGCUUUCUUGAACCUUUAAUAUAAAAUAAAAAGGACAAAAAAUACAAUGUGUUCAGAUAUAAUUCCUUUGAUUCUGAUUUCCUGUAGGUACUACAGCAUGUUAUAAUUUUUUGUGUGCUGUGGACAGAGUUCUCUAAAUUAGGAACAUCGGCAGUUAUUUUACAACUGGGAGCAAAGCAAUAUCAUAUGUUUUCUCAUUGUAACGUCUGCAAUGGAAUAAACAGUGUGACUCAAGCUU